rfam:Enterobacteriaceae bacterium symbiont of Ferrisia virgata isolate GEFVIR genome assembly, chromosome: I
UUUUUGCAAUACUGUUGAAAUCUUCUUAAAAAUAAGAUAUUUAGAAUAGCAUUAUUAUUAAAAAAUUAGGAGUGCAUAUUGGCCCGUAUAGCAGGCAUUAAUAUCCCUGAU